UACGUAGGUGGCAAGCGUUGUCCGGAUUUAUUGGGCGUAAAGAGCUCGUAGGUGGUUUGGUAAGUCGGAUGUGAAAUCUCCAGGCUCAACCUGGAGGGGUCAUUCGAUACUGCCAUGACUAGAGUUCGGUAGGGGAGUGUGGAAUUCCUGGUGGAGCGGUGAAAUGCGCAGAUAUCAGGAGGAACACCCGUAGCGAAGGCGGCACUCUGGGCCGAUACUGACACUGAGGAGCGAAAGCGUGGGGAGCGAACAGG
rnacentral:rRNA from 1 species